rnacentral:misc_RNA from 1 species
UUUCCGUAGGUGAACCUGCGGAAGGAUCAUUAUUGUAUAACCGAGGUGCGAGGGCUGUCGCUGACCCGAAAGGUCGUGCACGCCCGAGUGCCCUCACACACAUCCAUCUCACCCCUAUGUGCACCACCGCGUGGGUCCCCCUUUGGCUUGUUCGGAGGGGGGCUUACGUUUUCACACAAACUUUGUAUGCAGUGUAGAAUGUAUUUUUUGUUUUUGCGAUCACGCAAUCAAUACAACUUUCAACAACGGAUCUCUUGGCUCACGCAUUGAUGAAGAACGCAGC